GAUGAACGCUGGCGGCGUGCCUAAUACAUGCAAGUCGAGCGAACGGACGAGAAGCUUGCUUCUCUGAUGUUAGCGGCGGACGGGUGAGUAACACGUGGAUAACCUACCUAUAAGACUGGGAUAACUUCGGGAAACCGGAGCUAAUACCGGAUAAUAUUUUGAACCGCAUGGUUCAAAAGUGAAAGACGGUCUUGCUGUCACUUAUAGAUGGAUCCGCGCUGUAUUAGCUAGUUAGUAAGGUAACGGCUUACCAAGGCAACGAUGCAUAGCCGACCUGAGAGGGUGAUCGGCCACACUGGAACUGAGACACGGUCCAGACUCCUACGGGAGGCAGCAGUAGGGAAUCUUCCGCAAUGGGCGAAAGCCUGACGGAGCAACGCCGCGUGAGUGAUGAAGGUCUUCGGAUCGUAAAACUCUGUUAUUAGGGAAGAACAUAUGUGUAAGUAACUGUGCACAUCUUGACGGUACCUAAUCAGAAAGCCACGGCUAACUACGUG
rnacentral:rRNA from 1 species